rnacentral:lncRNA from 1 species
AUGAUCAUGUAUCCAGAAUAUAACAAUACCUCUUCUGAAAACUCGAAGACAAAUUCAAUCUUUGCAAUGUGUGAAGUUCCAUCACCAGCGCUCACAACAUAUAUCCAAGGAAUUACAGGCACCUUUCUGCUUCCCUACAUGGUCGUUGGCCUUCCAGCCAACCUAUGGGUGAUGUGGCUUAUCACUCACGGAACAAAAGAUUCAUUGGCGUCUGAGCUUUUCCAUCUAAAUAUGGCAAUAUGUGAGACCAUUUUCCUGUUGGGGAGUCCUUUACAGUUCUACUGCUUGUUUGACCAUGCUGGUGAUGGCCCGGUUGUUAAUUUCCUGAUCAUGGAACUUAGGGUGUUAAUAAGCUUUGGCCGUCUCCUGUUCCAGUGCUCCAUCUGUGUGGAGCGCUACCUGGCUGUCGUUCACCCUUUGACCUUCAUCAGGUUCAAGCCCCUGAGAUUCAGAGUAGUCUGCAGUGGUGUGAUGUGGUUCACAAUAUCGUUCAACUUGUCGAGCAUUUGGACAGCUGAUCCUAGAGAUCUUCUCAUUAUAGCACUAGUUUUUUUCACGACACUGCCUGUAAUUGUUUUCUGUUGUUUGUCAGUUCUCUGGUCCCUGAAGCAGCCAGGGCCAGUAGAGACAGAGAGGACAGGGGGUAACAACAUAAAGAGAAGAGCCUUCAACAUCAUUUCAUUGAAUCUGGGGAUUUUUCUGGUUACUUAUUUGCCCACAUUGGUGGUCUCGUCUUUGGAUAAGAUUUUGUCUUGGAAUAUAUCUUUUUAUCUGAUUUAUCCUGCCAUGUAUCUGACAACGUUGGGUGGGAUUGCCCAACCUUUACUUUAUCUACACAAGGCUGGGAAACUGCCUAGGAAAUGUUUUUUUACUGCAGUGAAACCAUAG